rnacentral:rRNA from 1 species
UAAUUUAUUCUUAAUCCAACAUCGAGGUCGCAAUCUAUUUUAUCAAUAUGAACUCUCCAAAAUAAUUACGCUGUUAUCCCUAAAGUAACUUAUUUUUUUAUUCAUUAUUAAUUAAUCAAAAAAUCAUAAAUCAUGAAAUCAAUAAUAAAAGUUUAUAAAAUUUUAGUAUCUCCCAAUAAAAUAAAAAUUUUAAUAUAUUUAAAAAUUCUUAAUAAUUCAUAUUAAAACUUAUAUAAAGAUUUAUAGGGUCUUCUCGUCUUUUAAUUAUAUUUUAGCUUUUUUACUAAAAAAUAAAAUUCAAUUAUAUUUCUAUUAAACAGUUUAUAUUUCAUCCAACCAUUCAUUCCAGCUUUCAAUUAAAAAACUAAUGAUUAUGCUACCUUUGUACAGUCAAUAUACUGCAGCCAUUCAAUUUAUCAGUGGGCAGGUUAAACUUUAUAUUUAAAUCAUAAAGACA